rnacentral:rRNA from 1 species
AUGGAUUUUCCAUCCUUCGAUGGAGACAAUCCCCAGUUCUGGAAAAAUAGAUGUGAAAAAUACUUUGAUGUUUUUGGAAUUGCUCCGGAUAUGUGGGUUAGGCUAGCGACUUUGCACUUCACAGGCAACGCAGCCCGUUGGCUGCAACUGCAUGAAUCGCAGCACACGGUGUUCACCUGGGACACACUUUGUGGUGCGUUGAGUACCAAAUUCGGGCGUGAGCAAUAUCAAGCAUAUAUUCGGCAGUUUAACACCUUGAAAUAGACGGGUACAGUGAGUGCUUAUAUGCAACGCUUUGAGGAACUGAUGCAUCACAUUCUAGCUCACAACCCGGCGUUUGAUUCCAUCUAUUAUACCACUCAAUUUCUGGAAGGGCUUAGAACUGAAAUUAGAGCUGGUGUUAUGCUACCAAAAAAUCUGGAAACUUCCUUCUCUCUUGCUUCGUUAUAG